AAGCUUCCCACCACCUUUCUCUUAAUUGACCACUUCUCCCCCUAAUCGGUGCUCCAACUCCAACUAGACCUCAGUUCUCCUCUAACCCUAAAUUCUUCUAUUUCCUCUUCGUUUUUUGGUAUGCUUUGUUCACAAUCAUCAUCUAUUCAUUAUUAACUUCUUCACGAUGGGUGCUAAGGUUUGAUUUAAGGGAUUAGGAUUCUUCUUCGUAAAAGCAACAAGGGCUUCAACAUCACCAACGUCACUUCUGUUCAUCACAAUCCUAUAAGAUUUAAAAAUCUUCAUGUUUCUUUAGCCGUUCGUCACCUUCUCUACCACCUCUACUCCAAGGAACAACCGUUUCUUCCAAAAAAAAUUGUAUGUCAAAAGCCACUACUACAGCCCCCAUCACUACAAAAGGAAUUCCUGUUUGCGAUUUCGACGAGAUGGAGCAAAUCCCUCUUUGUUCAUGAUAAUUCGCUUAUGAACAAAGGAUUGGAGGGUUCCAGAUGGAAGAUCGAUUGCGAUAGGGGCGAAAGACGUUUUUGUUGUUCAGAUUUGUCGUUAUGUUCCAAGUGAAUGAAGAUGUCGAUCUGUCACUUAUUGAGUUUCAACUUAUCAACGGUGAAGAGUGAUAACCUAUGCUUAUGUGUUCCUGUAUCAAAUGACAAAUUGUAAAUUUCUCUUGGCUUCGAUGAGUAUGAUCCUCUACAACCAUGAUGGCUUCAGGUUUAACAAUAAAUUUCUCAGUUAUUCAUUUCUUUAGUGAUCCUAACUAAUGGCAGGAUAUCAAGAUAAUGAAGUAAUGACAACUCUACAUUAGAAGGUACAAGGUAAAAUCAAUACAAUGACUGAAAGGAAGUUGGGAAAAGGUUGGUUCUAGUAGGUUCAUGUUGGUAGGAGGGUGACAUAUGUCAUUCAUAGAACAUGCCCUGAUGCAAUUAAGGUACAAUUGAAGUUUGAAGAUUGAAGUGGUAAGAUUGUAACUACGGUCUGCGGUUACGUGACUUUUACAUUUUGCUGAAUUUUUUCCUUGAGGAUUUAUAUUUUUUUACCUUUACCAUAUGAUGAAAAGAUUGAAUUUUUAUACAGUUUUUGGACAUUCUUGCACCAACUAUUUGAUACAUUUAAAAAUCUUUAAGUCAAUCGUAAGUCCCUUUCUUUUAAUCCAAAUUUUCGUGCAUUUUUAUAAAUUAUUUUAAUUAUUUGAUGAUUUGGUGAUUUCCAGCUGUAGCUACAAGAACCUUUUUUUUGUCGAAGUGAAAAUAGCCAUUCCAAGCAUGCUAGCUACGAAAAUUGCUUUCAUAAACAAGUUAUUUCAUUAAUUGGUUCAUUUUUUAAAUGAAAUGAGUAGUUUUAAUGAUUCUUAUGAUCAUAAAUUUUAACUUAUUUGAUUACGGUGGUCUACAUAUCUUGCUGGUGCGACUGCUAGCCAGACAUGCAAAGAAGAAGUAGAUACAAGGUUGGUAUUUGUUGGCAAGGUAACCAGUAUAAUAAUCUUUUAUCCAAUUUCUUAUUUUGACACUUAUCCUUGAUGAAUUUUUGUUAUAUCUUCAGAAUUUCGUUACGCCGUUAUGAUUUCGGGCUUUAUUGUAUUAUAUGUUUAUCAUUUCAAGACGAUUUUCUCUUUGUGUCUAGGUAUAAUUUGUUACAACUGUCAUAGUGAUGAGAAAUUAGAAUUUCAAUAACACAUUUCAAACAAAAAGUACGUGUUCCAUUUCAACUUUCAAAGGUAUGCUUUAUCAUAACAUCUUAUUAUUAUUAUUUUUUUUCAAUUAGAACAUUGUAUAUUCAUUUUCUUUUCUUAUUGAAGAUUGAACUUUUGAAACUUUUCCCAACUAACUUGCCAUUUUUUUCAUCACGUCACAAAAGAGAAAACAAAAGUAUGGUUGUUGUCUGAAGUGGCUUCUGUUGUUUUGACCAUUUUACCCCUGCUUGGUAAAAACCCUAUUAAAAGAAGGGCAACAAUGGAAAAUAUAAAGGUUGUGGAUCAAAUUUGCCAUAACUCAAGCAAGUUCAUUGUUGCUAACUUAGGAUACAUUUGCUGGUGCACUUGAGAGUAUAUUGCCUCUUCUCUUUCUUGCCCAAUUUUACAUUGCUAUUGUUGGUUCUCCUAAAGCAGUUGCUACUAAUGGGUCCGUGUUGGAAGUAAAGGUAGAUUUGCAAAUUCCUCAGGGAAAACUCCUUUCAAGUUCAUUUUUUAAGUUAUUAUUUUUUUAUGCGGCAAUAAACAUGAACGAUUUUAUACUGAAAGAUUUAUAAAAUAAAGAAAUUAGAGAAUUAGAAGAGA